UACGUAGGGUGCGAGCGUUAAUCGGAAUUACUGGGCGUAAAGCGUGCGCAGGCGGCGCGUUAAGACAGGUGUGAAAGCCCCGAGCUUAACUUGGGAAUUGCGCUUGUGACUGGCGUGCUGGAGUGUGGCAGAGGGAGGUGGAAUUCCACGUGUAGCAGUGAAAUGCGUAGAGAUGUGGAGGAACACCGAUGGCGAAGGCAGCCUCCUGGGCCAGCACUGACGCUGAGACGCGAAAGCGUGGGGAGCAAACAGG
rnacentral:rRNA from 1 species